rnacentral:rRNA from 1 species
AUUGAACGCUGGCGGAAUGCUUUACACAUGCAAGUCGAACGGCAGCACGGAGAGCUUGCUCUCUGGUGGCGAGUGGCGAACGGGUGAGUAAUAUAUCGGAACGUGUCCAAUAAUGGGGGAUAACGAGUCGAAAGAUUCGCUAAUACCGCAUACGCCCUACGGGGGAAAGCAGGGGAUCGUAAGACCUUGCGUUAAUGGAGCGGCCGAUAUCUGAUUAGCUUGUUGGUGAGGUAAAGGCUCACCAAGGCGACGAUCAGUAGCUGGUUUGAGAGAACGACCAGCCACACUGGAACUGAGACACGGUCCAGACUCCUACGGGAGGCAGCAGUGGGGAAUUUUGGACAAUGGGGGCAACCCUGAUCCAGCCAUUCCGCGUGAGUGAAGAAGGCCUUCGGGUUGUAAAGCUCUUUCGCGAGGGAAGAAAACUUAUGAUCGAAUAAAUCAUGAGGUUGACGGUACCUUGAUAAGAAGCACCGGCUAACUACGUGCCAGCAGCCGCGGUAAUACGUAGGGUGCGAGCGUUAAUCGGAAUUACUGGGCGUAAAGCGUGCGCAGGCGGUUUUGUAAGUCGGAUGUGAAAUCCCCGGGCUCAACCUGGGAACUGCGUUCGAAACUGCAAGGCUAGAGUGUGUCAGAGGGGGGUAGAAUUCCACGUGUAGCAGUGAAAUGCGUAGAGAUGUGGAGGAAUACCAAUGGCGAAGGCAGCCCCC